rnacentral:rRNA from 1 species
GACGAACGCUGGCGGCGUGCUCAACACAUGCAAGUCGAGCGGUAACGGCCCGUUUCGGGGGUACACGAGCGGCGAACGGGUGAGUAACACGUGGGUGACCUGCCCUCAGCUCUGGGAUAAGCCUGGGAAACCGGGUCUAAUACUGGAUAUGACUCCAUGACGCAUGUUGUGGGGUGGAAAGCCUUGUGCGGCUGAGGAUGGGCCCGCGGCCUAUCAGCUUGUUGGUGGGGUGAUGGCCUACCAAGGCGACGACGGGUAGCCGGCCUGAGAGGGCGACCGGCCACACUGGGACUGAGACACGGCCCAGACUCCUACGGGAGGCAGCAGUGGGAAUCUUGCGCAAUGGGCGAAAGCCUGACGCAGCGACGCCGCGUGAGGGA